GCAAGUCGAACGAGAAAGGGACUGCUUGCAGUCCUGAGUAGAGUGGCGCACGGGUGAGUAACACGUGGAUAAUCUACCUUCGAAUCUGGGAUAACUAUCUGAAAAGGUAGCUAAUACCGGAUGAUGUCCUGACUACUUCGGUGGUUUGGAUGAAAGGCAGCCUCUUCUUGAAAGCUGUUGUUUGAAGAUGAGUCCGCGCACCAUUAGCUAGCUGGUGGGGUAACGGCCUACCAGGGCGACGAUGGUUAGCUGGUCUGAGAGGAUGAUC
rnacentral:rRNA from 1 species